GUGGUCGGUGUACAGGUGGUGCAUGGUUGUCGUCAGCUCGUGUCGUGAGAUGUUGGUUAAGUCCCGCAACGAGCGCAACCCCUAUCUUUAAUUGCCAUCAUUCAGUUGGGCACUUUAAAGAGACUGCCGGUGUUAAACCGGAGGAAGGUGGGAUGACGUCAAGUCCUCAUGGCCUUUAUGCCUAGGGCUACACACGUGCUACAAUGGGUGGUACAAAGAGCAGCCAACUCGCGAGAGCGCGCUAAUCUCAAAAAGCCAUCCUCAGUUCGGAUUGGAGUCUGCAACUCGACUCCAUGAAGUUGGAAUCGCUAGUAAUCGCGGAUCAGCAUGCCGCGGUGAAUACGUUCCCGGGCCUU
rnacentral:rRNA from 1 species